AUGGAAAUUUAUAGUAUAGAUGAUGAUGAUAAAGUUGAAGAAGAAAUAAAAUAUAAUGUACAGAAUCGAAAUAUGUUACAUUUUAAUAAUGUACAUAUUGAUACAAAUAAUAAUAUGAAUUAUAAAAACAUAAAUGAGAACUUAAAUACUCUUAAGUCUUUCGAUGGUCAUGAUAUGGAUACAAUGAGAGGAACAAAUAAACAAACUAUUCCACCAGAGCAAAUUCGUAAAAAAGAUAGUAUUAAACAUGAGGAAAUGCAUGAGGAAAUGCAUGAGGAAAUGCAUAAAGAAAUGCAUGAAGAAAUGCAUGAGGAAAUGCAUGAAGAAAUGCAUGAGGAAAAUGAUUCGAAAAAUAUAUUACUUAGUAAUAUAAGUGAUAAAAAUUGCAUUUCAAAUGAUGUAUAUAACAAUUUAAGUAACAAUAAGGACGAAGAUAAAAAAUAUAGUUUGUAUAAUUAUGUAGUUUUACAUAAUAAUAAAAAAAAUAUUUUGGAAAUUAAAAAAGAGAUGGGUGACGGUGAUAACGAAAACUAUAACGAAAACAUUAACUAUAAUGAAAAUUUUAACUAUAAUGAAAACAUUAACUAUAAUGAAAACUUUAACUAUAAUAAAAACAACAACGAAAACGACAACGAAGACAACAGCGAAAAUAAAAACAAAAACAACAAUGAAAGCAACAAUGAAAACGACAACGAAGACAACAACGAAGACAACAACGAAGACAACAAUGAAGACAACAAUGAAAACAACACGAGUGAUAAUAAUGACAAAUCAAUAAAUGUUUUUUCUAAUAUUACUAAACAGUAUGAAAACACAAGUAAGUUAAAUUAUAAUGAUUACCCAAAUGAGCUCCAGACAAAUAAGCAUAUUAAUAAUGAUUUCGAUAAUAACAUUUAUAACAAUAAUAUAAUUAACGGUUUGGAUGAAUCAUUAAGUAAAGAAUGUUAUACAUAUGAGAGAGGUGACAAUAUGCACAAUAAACUCUAUCCAAACUUAAGUGUCUUCAUUAAAACAGAUAGUGAUGAUUAUAACAAUAAAGCAUAUGAACAUAUACAGAACAAACAAUAUCCUAAUUUAAGUGUUUUUGUUAAAAAUGAUAGUAACGAUUACAACGAAGGAGAAAGAAAAGCUUUUCCAUUUUGCUAUAAAAAAUGGUAAUACAUUUGAUAAUUAUAAUGUCAAUAAUGAAAAUGACAUAUCAUACUAUAAACAUUAUACAAAAAGUGUAAAACAAGAAGAACCUGAUAUUGAUGAUAAUAAUAACCAUAAUAAUAAUAGCCAUAAUAAUAAUAGCCAUAAUAAUAAUAGCCNNNNNNNNNNUAGCCAUAAUAAUAAUAGCCAUAAUAAUAAUAGCCAUAAUAAUAAUAACAACAAUAAUAAUAGUAUAUUUAAUAAUAAUAAUAAUAAUUAUAAUUUUAACCCUUUAGAAACACACGAUAUUUCAAGUUCAAGAAAAGCAGAGUACGGUCUAUCAGAAAGUAUUUAUUCGUUAUCGGGAGUAUAUUCAUCAAUAGACAAAGAAAAUAUAAGUGUCAAUAAGGACAACGUGUUAGAAAGUAAAAAGGUUUAUUAUGCUGAAAGAAGAAAUAAUUUAAUUGAUAGCAGAGGAGCUCAUUUGAGCAAAAAUGAAGAACAUAGUUUUGAAGAAAAAGAAAAUGAAUGGAGGGAAGAUGGAAACACAUUAGAGAGUAAACACAUAAAAAUUGAUCCAAAUAAUUACAACAACGGAAGAAACGACUGUUCUCAAAAGUAUAAAGAAGAAUAUUAUCACAAUAAAGAUGAAAAAGUAAACA
rnacentral:lncRNA from 1 species